CAGGUGUUGGGAUUCAGCACACUCUUCCUCCCUUUCCUUCCUUGGCAGGGUGUAUAUGCUGUGUACCUCUAAGACCUAACAGUGGUUUGCUACAUUUUCUCUCAUCCUGAGCCCAGUGGACGCCUGUGGUGACAAUAAUUGAAGGCUCUCAGAUCUUUUUCGAUCACUCAGCCCCUGUGUCCUGCAGUUAGUGGUCAUCUUUUGGAGGAGAAAACGCACCGGCUCGUUCAUGUUUUACAUAAGUAUGGCUGUGAACCCGUGGCCCACAUUGCAGGGUGCCCAAGUUAAAAGGAGUUCGCUGGAAAGUUUUGUCACAUUUUGGCUCUUUGUGAUUCAGUAAAUGUAGAUGCGUCGCCGAUUUAUUCUGAGAAAGGCGGAUGACAACAAGGACACAUUUCAAGUAGCGUCCUCAGUGCCACAUGGCAAUUUAACAGCUGAAUCUUGAUUCCAGUGCAGCCUUGGAGGAGGCAUGUGUUGGAGCUACUGAACAGACUCUUUCCUGAGACUAAUUUACACAUCAAAAUAGUUUUUUUUCAACCUCUAAUCUGGGUUAUAUUUACACAACUAGGAGUAUUUAGUGACACUAACAUCUCUUUAUGACACCAAACUAUGGCUGAUAAUGUAGGAAAUUUACACACUGGGAGAUACUACAUAAAUAAAGGAGUUACGUAUUCAUAUUAGUAUUUCUUAAUAAGACUUUUGCGUCAUUACUGGUUUACUUUGACCAGCUAAGCUUAGUCCUCAACUCUUUGAGCUGUGUUGCCAGUUUUUGGGGAGAAAAUCUUGAAUGUAAACUCUACCCCUCCCAACCAGUUUUCCCCUUAGUUCCUCCUCUCAGCGAGCCCCGCCCACAAACAGACGCUCCUGCUCGCUCAUAUCGUUCCGUUAAAUUCAGAUAUAAUGCAGAUAAAUACUUAAGAUAAUUACAAAUGGGGCCCAGUCAACAUGAAAGUAAAAAGCAAUGGUGCUACUGUAGAUGCCAACAGACUACCAGCAAACACAAUGUUUUCAGGACUUCUACAAGUAGGAUAAAGUGACAUAGUCCAGGACCCGAGGUCAACAGUUUAGCUACAACACGCAACAGGUCCCGUUUGACAAGAAACACUUCUGUUACAGACACUUGGCUUACUUUGUUAAAGUGGUGUACCUGUCCAGAAGAAAGGUUACAGGGUCCGUAAGAUCUCAAAGUGUCCCCCAUCGUUUGCGCUUCAUUGAUGUUGACCCGGCUUCUCAGCUCUUGCCCGGCUUUUUAAGCGCCUGUUAUUCCGCCAGAGUCUCUGGUAUUUACUUUGUUUUCUUGCUUGUGUCGGCAGUCGUGGCCAAAGGAGGAUUCAGACAGUUUUCCGUACUUUCUGGUUGGUUUCUACUGUCCGAUAUUGUAGCACGCUAACUUUGUUUGGGCUCGUGAACGACACGAGGGAGCAGUGUCUGCCUCACAACCAAUCAGGUUGUGGGAGGCAGAGAAUACGGCUUUGUUUACAGUCAGAAAGAGCGGGCCGCUCAAAAAAUUCAAAAUGUUGACUACACAGACAUAACAAAACACAGCGAUAUCGUUAUAUUACCAAAUGUCAUCAAUAACUCAAUAACUAGUAGCUAUUGACAGAAGUUAAAAGCUUUUUUGUAUAUACACCACAAAAAAAGAUGCUUCUUUAACAGAUUCCUGCCUACCCCACCUUUAAUCAAGCACGUUCUCUUUUCAAUAUUUUAUAUUUUUUCUGGAUGAAGAUUUGGUCUGUAAAGUGCACAUUAAUGCAUUGUAAUAUGGCUGUAUUAAUACCGGUUCAAGUAGACGUGAUCAGUGGGUGUAAAAGGUUGUAAAUAUGUUCACUUGGUGCCAUCCCCAGGAAAGUCCAAUCCUCCGUUUGGUCAAAGAAGUCUGGACACGUCUCUGUUAACCGUACGCUUUUCGUAUGUUUGUAUAUUUUUUCUCUCUUUCCAUUGGGUUUCCAACAAAAGCAGAAAUUUUUGCAAUGCUCCACUUGUAAAUCACUUUGUUGAUAACAAAAAAAAGGUUUUUGCCAGCAGCAGAAUUGCACACCCAGUGCAACAAAACAAGGUGAGUAAAAGGACAAAAAAAGCAGCAUCUCCACACAGACAAAGUCAACAAAACAAAAAGAGGGAACAAGGUUUCAUAUUAAAUAUUUAGACACAAUUAUGGGUCAACCAGAUCAGGUAAUGUAUUCCUUGAAAUAUUAAGAACCAAAUAUACAGCAGACCUUCUGUCCAAGCUGGAGGGGAACAGUCCAGCCUCUGUCCAACAACAUAAAAAUAUAUAGAUGCAUAUAUGUUUACAUUUCUGUGCUUCUGUUUGAGUGAGUCUGGUUAAGAAGAGCACAAAUGUAAAAAAGUGUGCACUAUUUUCAUUGCACCUUUCCCUAUUCCACCAUGUGUUACCGUACUCUGCUCCAUCUCCAUUACAGAUUUCACAUCCCUUAAUGAGGUGGUUUGCAAAGAGCAAAUUUUUCUGUAAAUCGUCACCAAAGCAUCUUUCUAUACAGUCUUCACUUCAACCCCUAAGGACAACUUUAACUUUUCUUUUUGGUACAUCCACAUACAGCGGCUGUCCUCAUCAAACAUGAAAAAACUAAGCUUUUAAACAGCGGUAUGACCCUUGAAUCCAACAGACACUAAGAUCCCAAGAGUUCAAACCAAGUACCAAAAACUGCAGGUCCAUGUGAGGCUGUCUUGAAGUCUAGAUUGUUGACAAAUUUCCCUGAGACCAGAGUGACGAGAAGCCUGGUGACUGUAAGUUACCUGGUGGUUCAUGCCGACCAUCCCUUGGUUUCUCACCGAGGAUUUUAACCAACAGUGGGUCUGCUCUGCUCCAUAAACUCCAACCUAUGAACCUUGAGAUUAACAGCUGUUGUCAGCCACCACCAUGAAUCAAAUCUCAUGUUCUGAGAAACACGUUUGAAGUCCGGCUGUUAGCAUCUAUUAAACAGCCAUGGGUAUAGAUGUGCAGUUUCUCUCCGGCUCUGCUCCUUACUCUGAAUAUGAAACUCAACAUGGAUGCAGCUUCAUGAAGAUCCAGGGCCUCAUUUAUGCAGUAAAGAAAUCUGUAGAUGAUGAUGCAAUUGCUAUGUCAGUUUUUCAUGCUGUAACUAGCUUGAAAUGUUGAAGAAUUUGUCUGAUUUUUAAAGACGAAUAUGAUGCAUGGUGGGUAUUUAUGAAUCAUGGUUCAGUAUCAUAUGGAAGAAAAAGCAGCAUUUCUACUUUAAACAUAUUUUUUAUAUUGGAGCUGUCAAGUUAUUUAAAAAAAGUGAAUGAAUUAAUUGCCGGUUUGAUGGUUCAUUAACUGCAAUUAAACAAUCAUAUUAAUAAAUAAGCAUUGCAUUGCAUUGGUGGACAUACUGCUUAACCAUACACCUAAAAGACAGUCACUAACUUUAGCAUUUUAAUUGUACUCUGUCUUUAACCUUAUCGAGUGUUAUUAUCAAAUCCCAAAUGCAAGAAACUGUUUGUUUUUGAGUAGGGGUGUCCCAUACAACUAUUUGGCUUCCAAUACGAUAUUGAUAUUGCAGCCUUCGAUAUUAACCGAUACCGAUAUUGAUCCGAUAUUGGCACAAAAUUGUGCAUGACAAGUUUUUCACUCAGCUACAAUGUCUCUUUUGGACUUAAACAAAAAAUACUGCCUCAAGUCCAACAUCAUUCCUACUCCCUGCUACUUUGUUAGUACCUUAGUACACACUGUUGUUGUGAUUACAUGGGCUCUGCAUGCUGGAUCAGGGCACUGCUAAAUAGAAGUGCUGGAGCGGAGUCUGGAAUGGACUGCUUGUAUCGGAGUGCUGAUAUCGGAAAUUUCAGAUGCAGGCUGGUAUCCGAUAUUCGUUUUUUUUUUGUUGCUGAUAUUGGACUGAUAUCCAAAAAGAGUGUCCAAGUAGGUGUCCAAGAAGAAACGGGUCCACAACAUACAGUUAUUGUGCGACCGUGAAGCCCACCCUUACAAUUUUUUUAUGCGCUAUUUUUUAAUCAAAGUUUGUAAAGCAAAACUUACACAUUGAUAUGACGGGCGUAGUUUUAAUGAAUCUUUUUCGUUGUUUUUUAUGCGAUUUGUUGGACAGAAGUAUACCAGCCAUGUCUCCGUAGUCGGAUGAAAUCUGGUAGCUUGAAAAAAUGUUACUUUACUGCUGCUCAUCCAUCAUGAUGACUGGCAGCUGUUGUGCUGACUAAGUGAUAGGACUGUAAAUAUGAUGAAUAUUGCAUUACAGACAAAAUAAAAGACUGCAGCUGGAAGUUUAUAUCUUUGACGGAUGUUACAUGCGGGGUAAGUAUGAAGUCUUCCGGUAAGCUACAUCAACAGCAGUCCAUCUAAAUCCAUCAUGAGCGUGUUUCUCCGUGCCGCUGCUGUGUGUCAAAUGAAGGCAGGGCUGCAGGACUGCAGACUCAUCACCAUAACACAGUCAGUCUGCUAAGUGAAAAGCGAGAAGGAGUUUUUCCCCUCACCCUGUCUGAUGCAUCCACAAUAUUACCAGGAGUAGCAGCUGGAAGCCUCAUAAAUCAUUGCGGGGCCUACGGGACAAAGGGGAUCACAUGGCACCAGGGCGCAGCGGAUGCUAAAGGGGUUCAACUUUAGUAACGAUAAGAGCUUCCAUUCAGAGAGCAGGGUUGUGGGAAGUAGAUUAUCAGUACAAGGGAGGUCAGGGGAUGGGAGUAUAAUUAAUACUGUAUGAGUUAAACCUAUGACAUGCUUCUCCUGCUACCAACAGCUAUCUGAUUAAAGUAGAAAGGAUGGAGAAGAGAAUGUGGGUGGAGAGCAAAGCACUGUGGGUGGGUGGGGAUGGGGGUGGGCGGGAGAUCCCAGCUCAAAGCGAGGAAACGCUUCUCUCUCCUUUUCCAGUGCUCAGUAUUGCUCUGUCUCUUCUUAUUAGAAAGCUAAUGCAACUGUCUGUUCUAAUACUGCCGAGCAGCUUUUAUUCUUUUUUUCUCUCCUUUGCAACCUUUUUCUAUUCCGCGCAGCUCUAAUCUGUGCAGUGGCAGCAGAUAAUAAGACGGGGCACAUUCGCUUACUCUCCCCGCUUCCUUACAGGCUUUUGUCUUGGCGCGAGCCGUACAGUCGUUUGUUUCAACAACUUUGCAGCAUAAAAUCAGAGAGAAAACUUUUGCAGGUGAAUUUUUCUGUGCGGCCAACCCGUGAUUCUUCAGAGGUUUUCUGUUGAUAUUGCCCUCCAAAAAAACCUGAAAGACAGCACAGACUUCUUUGUUUUACGCUCAAAGAAGUUCCAGUUUUGAGGCCUUUGAAGUGCACAAAGUGUUGGAGCUUACAGAGGAAUUGUUCUUGGGGAGAGGGGAUGAAUUUGAGAGUGAAUUUAAAUCUCAGGCUUAACUUUUACUGGCACUUGCAUUGUAAAGAUCAAACAUGCCUUACUGGACCUUGAAUGCCAACUAAGAACCCCCAGGCCAGAGAGAGAGAGAAAAAGGGAUUCAUAAGGACUUGUCUGUAGAUAAUUCUGAUGUAACUCCCCUUCUUGUUCAAUGGAGCUGCAGAGCAGUGAGAAAAAGGACAAUUAGCUCUAUGAUAAAUUCACAUUCUUUGCAACUUCUAACUUGCUCUUUGAAAGAACAGAAGUCUAGUAUCUAAAAUGUGAACCUCGGUUUCUCUUUGGCACUCAGUUUGCGGCUGCAUGUUGAAGCACAGGCAAUUAUAGGCGACAAAUAAGGAAUUAAGACUCUGAAUAUGGGAAAAUGUGAGUGAUGUGCAGACGUAAGGGAGUUCACGGAGGCUAAUUCACUGAGAAAAUGUCCUCUGUGGAAGUGUUCGGGGAACAUAACGGUGUUUCAUUGUUAAAUGUAGAAGACAUGAAGCACACUGCACAGCUCGGCAGCAACGCAGACAGGCAGAGAGAAUGAUCCUGAUUGAGUUUAAUGCCUGUUGAUAUUGCCUGGUCUGCGAAAAGGAAUCGGGUUUUACAGCUAUCUGAACAAUGUGAAACUCUUCCACAUGAAUGUACUGAUUGUUUCUCCUCGUGUAAUUGGUUAUUAUGUGCAGUAUUUUGUUGUUUUUCUGUCAAUUCAGCAUGGUGGCCGGCUUCUAUAAAUCUGCUUAUUUCCAGCUCUAGCUUUCUUGUCCCACUUUCUGCAUGACAGUCAGGCUUACUUUCCUCCAAAAUGUGUUGAGUUUCUACUUUUCCUCCAGCUGUUAACAAAAGCGCAGCGGAAAAAAGAAAGUACACCCCUUAAAUUAGGCAAAACAUUUCACUUUUUUUGUUCAACACCGGUAGAAGUCCAACAUGAACUGUAGGUGUAAGGAAAAAAUUACUUUUCACACAUUUGCCAAAUGCUGGAGUCCUUUCAGGAUUUGACAAACGUGUGAAAAGUUCCUGGAUCGUUCAUGAAACGUUGGGUGGAGCUCAAAGUUUGGUAAAUGGGGAAACAUUUCACACCUCUGUUAAAUCCUGGAGAACGGAUGAAACGCUUACAGAAACAUUUUUAGACAUCAGCUAAAUGUUAAAAGUGAGACUCUUGUGGAUAAUAGGAAACUUAUUAUUGAUUGUUGAAUUUAUUACCAUUAAUUGACCUUUAGAACAAAAAAAGUAUGACAGGUAUUAAAAUUAAUAGUCUAUAACAUGAGACAAAAGCACUAGGAGAUAAGGUGAUUGCUUCUGACUUCAAUUAACUCAGUUUUUUCUGACUUGAUGCCAAGUUUUCAGCAUGCACAUUGGUUUUUAUCAACUUUUUUCCAACAAAUUCCUGUCCAUCUGCCCAUAAAAAACAUGUUUUUUUGGGGAGUUGAUACUUUGAGCAAAUAUCCCCUAAAACAAAUCUUAAAAUACAACCGAAUUGUAACAGGAUUUUCAGCAUCGUUCACUUCUCAUAAUCCAACAAACCGGAGAGAAGAUGUGAACCACAUGGGACACAAAUAUUGACCAAGUGUUUCUCACGGCCAAAAAUAGGUCAUGAUUUUCCUGCAGCAUAUUGACCCAUUUUCAUCUUAUUUGGUUUGUAGUUGUAAAUAGAAGCUGAACAAAAAUGAUCCCUUACAGCAUUUUCUGUCGAAAACUAUGAAAUUUGGUUGUCAUACUGUAUGUAUCUUGUCCACACAAACAAAGAAGCAGCAAGGCUAAGAGGAAGUCCACUAUUUUUAAUGGCUAGAAUAUCCUGCAGAAUGAGACAUUUGCAGGACUCUUAGGAAUCUUGGUGCUAAUGGUCCAAGUCAGGGGUGAACCCAGUCAACUUCCACUUUGGUUAAAAGCCUCCAUUCAUCUUACAACCAAAACUAAAAUGGUGUCACUCUGGCGCCUUGCUUAAAUUCGAUGUCUGGCCUGAACACUGAGGCUUGAAAGUAGCUCAGAAUGACAGUCAUCCUCUCUCAACAUGUUCACGUCAGUUGUUACUGAAUUACCACUUUGUGCUCUCACUUUAUGAUGUGCAAAAUACAUGACAAUUAAGAGCCAUUAUCACUUACUGAUGGUGCGGCAACAACACAGUGUUGUAUCACACUGCAACAUGCACCGAAAUCCCAACGCACACAGUUAUGUUCCUCUUGCAGCCCCACUUUCAUUUGACAUCAAGCUUAUUCAAAUUGAUCAAUCAAAGACAGAUCAUUCAUGAUAAUUUGAUGUCGGUGUAAUUAAAAUGAUAAAAACUCAAACAAAUGAGAAACUCUGGAACAUCAUUUGGAAGUACCAAAAACUGAAGUUAAAAGUUUUUAUCUCGAUUGGAUCAGUCAGUGUAAGAAAUAUUUCUACGCACUGUCCCCAGAUGAUCACUGGUUGAAAAAAAAUACAUAUCAAAACAGAAAUGGGUUAUCUGUCAGUGGAAACCAUUCAUCCAUCCAUUUUCUACCGCUUAUUCCCGUUCCCGGGGUCGCGGGGGGGCUGGAGCCUAUCCCAGCAUCUUCUGCUUGUAAAAUAAAUCCAGUGUGGAAGUGGAAGAUGCUGCAGUUUCUCGAGGGUCCUCUUGAGGCUGGCUGCAAAACCAAGUCCCCGCUGGGUUUACUGUGAAAGUGCCCUUUUUACAGCCGAAUUAAACAUGUCUACACUGCAGCCAGGCUGACAAACAGUUGUUGGGUGAAUUUUCAAAACUAGGUCCAAGUUUAGACUGUCUAUGGUUAUCUGUAGAUGUCAGGUGGUUGGUCUCUCUUCGGUGACGUAUUUAUAAGUCUGUUAGUGGGAAAAGUUGACAUGUACAGCUGUUUAGACCGUGGCUUCCUUGGGGGGGCAGAGAUUACUGGCCAAAUGUGUUGGAUUGCAGCUGACAAAGGAAAUGUUGUAUCAGUGCACAUAUUAUAGAAACGCACAUUAUGAAGCAUCUAGGGCCUACUUGCUACACGUCUAUCAUCAGGGUGGGCUGUGAGACAUGAUAAUGAAAAGAUAAAUUUUCUAAAAUUUCCCAGGCGUCACUUGAUGUUGGUGUCCAGCCGAGACACUAAAACUGUGAUGUCUUGUUUUGCGGGACAUUUCGGGGCCAUGUGAUGCUCAUAAAGAAAGCGGUUUGCUGGAGUGGAUACCCCAGUGUGUCGUUUAGGACUCAUCAGGCCCUCUCCUGCCCUGGUGGCAUGAUUAAACUUUCAGGGAGUCAUCAGAUUUGCCGUCACUUGGAGAUUAAGCUGAUCUCAGACAAUCCCUCAAGCAGAGGCAACCCUCCACCAUUGUAAUUUUAUGCUAAUAGAGCCAUAUCUCUCACAAUGUAGAGGGCAGCAAUUCUGAAUCUUUCACUCUCUCUUUUUCAAAAUCACUGCCUCUAUUUCUUCCUCUUUGUCCUCUCUCUCCCUCCACCGCCCCCCUCUUCCAGACUUCGCUCCAGUUAAAGAGAUUCUAGACACACAUUCGCUUCAAAUUAAUCUUAUCCUGUGAGUGUGUGUGCGCGAUUGUGCGGCUGUGAAACGCUGUCACAACCUUUUGUAAACACAUUAUGGAGGAUAAACUGUACAGUUUUAAAGGAUCACAGAAAAGACUGUUAGGCAUUGUUCCUCAUCUCCUCAUAUCUGUUUGUUCCCUUGAAUGUAAGCUUAUGCUGUCUGCAGUUUCACUCCAUUCAGAAGCAGCUUUUUACCCUCAAAGUGCAUCUUUAAGUGUCUGUAGGUGUCAAGUCAACCAAACUGACAGAAAGAGAAAAUAUUUUACUGGAAAUACUAACAUUUAUGCUUUCGAAGACGUAGGCAUGGCAGCUACAGAUAAACAGCUGAUGUUUAUGUUGCUCUUUGGUUUAGUGGUUUCUUACCGAGGACGAACAAGCUUCGAAAUAUUAUUUUCAGAAAGGGAUUCAGAUUAUAAUCAGAUUAAGAAACAUGAGUUUGGAUCGCUUUAUCAAAGUUUUGCAAUUCAGUCCCUUACCCUCAUAGUCCAUAUGUGGAAAUGUCUGUGGGCAAUAGUGUUGUCGUUCGCGAACAAAUCGUUCAAAGAACCGAAUCUUUUAAGUGAAAGUACUGAACCAAAUCACUUCCUCAAGUGAAUCGUUCGUUUCUCACUUCAGUUAAGCUGUUAGAAGUGCAGCUGCUAUAGCAUGCAGCAUUGCCAGGCGAGCAGCCGGCGAACGAGGGACCGCAUGCACUGAUGCCUGAAUCACUUGAUGAACAAAUCACGCUUUGAACUACAUUCUCUAGAAUCAUUUUUGUGGGACAAAACUACCUUUUUUUUUUUUUACUGCUAAAUUGCCACCACAACAACUUGCAUACAGUCAGACACAGCAUGUAACAAGUAGUGCAUUAAACCUCAAUAUACUGAGCAGACCUGAUAAAUAGCAUACCAUAGGACAGUACACUUAAAACAUCAUGACUUAUAAACAAGUUCAUUUUACAAACCUAUUUGUCAAAGCAACACAGCCAAACACUCUCGUCUCCCGGUCCCAGAAGCUCUGUAUUGAACUGAA